rnacentral:lncRNA from 10 species
CAGGAGGGCUUUUUCCUUCUAGUCAGCUGACCUUUUUUGCACCUAUGUGUGGCUCCACUUGGGCUGCAGGGCUGCGUGUCCUUUUGUUUUCUCCGUGGUUCCUGAAUCUGCAGUGAAGUAGGGUGGCUGACUGAGACAGGCAGCAGUCCAAAUCACCUCCCCCUGCAAAGAAGCAACUUUUCUGGAAAGAUGAGGAGCACACCACACCCAGGAAGAGAAAUCUCCCAUUGCCUCAUUGUCCUGUGGCAACUCAGGGCUGGACCAUAACAGUCCUGUCCGUAGGGCCUUUUGAAUCCACUUGAAUUUGAUUCCCAGCAGAGCAGAUGCCUCACAGCGUGAGGCGGGCAUGCUUCCAUCGUCUUGGCAUUUCAUUUUGGGGCAGAGAGUGUGAGCAGCAACAAGAUCAGAGAGGGCUGAGGAUACAGUCUUGUGAGGUGUGGAUGCAGUCCUGCAACUUCACCUUCAGGAGAAGUGCAUACAGAUCAUGCAGAAGAAGGCUGCAUGAUUCCUGGAGAAUGAGGAGCAGCCAGACAUGUCUGGUUUUUGCCUGGUAAUCUAGGCUCUGUUUCCUUUCAUGUGCAUGUCCUUUCUCAUUGAGAAGGGAGUCUUAUUUGGGCUGUUGCUGGGUCGGACUGCCUCUUGCCACGGGCCUUCUUGGCUGCCAGGGAUUUUAGGGAGCAAAAGAGACUUUGGGUAGGCUGGCUACAGGCCAGGUUGUGGGUAGUGAUCUCAUUGUGGGGGCUGCGCUGGUUUGCAUUUUUCAGGAGGCUCUUGUGUCCUCUGGCAAGAAUCCCUGAACAUGGCUUGGACUCCAGUGUGGGCCCUCUAGUGCUCCCAGGUGAGGCUUGAUUUCCCUUUGCUUUCAUGUGAAGUUCUUAGUGCGCCUCCACAACACUCCUGGACACCUUUUUAGGCUUGCAAUCCCCCCAGAUGGACACUGAGACACUCUCAACCUCACAUGCCCCUGUGAGAAUCCAGAUCCAGGUGUGAGUCCUCUGCUGUGCCUUGGACUUGCCUUUGGGGUGUUUCCUGCUUUUCCCAGACAGCCAUACUGAGAAGGAGCAGCAGGAAUAUACUGAUAAAUACUCAACAUAUAAAGUUGGUGAGUUGCAAUUAUGUCUGUGAUAUUUCCAAUAACCAUGGUGAAAGGAAGACACUGUAUUUUAAAUGUAGACAAACUGAUUUCUCUGGAGUCGGAAAAACUGAAAGACUUCUUGGAUAACAUCAUUUUUGCUCACAACAUAAUGACAUAUAGUAAACAAACUUCCAUGAAUAGCCCUACAUUAAUUGUGGCAUAUUGCCUUAAAAUGUUUCUCAGUCAGAGUAGAGGAGUUCAGGACCUGGUUUAAAUAGUCAAUUAUCUGAUGGCAUCAACCUUUGUUUUGAUCCAGUCAGUUGGAAACACUAUUUCUGUAGGAUCUAUGAUGGGACACUUCAGAUCCCAUUGAGGACUGUAGUGAAAAAACUAAUAUCCCAUGAUAAAAACUAGAAACAAGCUACCUGUGAAAGUGCUUUGCAAUGUGUGGAUUCAUCUGACAGAGUUAAAACUUUGUUUUGAUUGAGCUAGUUAGAAAUACUCUUUUUGUAGAAUCUAUGAAGGGAUAUUUCAAAGACCAUUGAGGCCUAUAGUGAAAAAGCAACUAUCCCACGAUAAAAACUAGAAACAAGCUAUCUGUAAAAACACCUUGCGAUGUGUGGAUUCAGUUCACAGAGCUAAACCUUUUUUUUGGUUCAGCCAGUUGGAAACACAUUUUUGUAGAAUCUAUGAAGGAUUAUUUCAGAAUCCAUUGAACUCUAUAGUGAAAAACCAAAUAUCCUGGGAUAAAAACUAGAAAGAAGAUCUUUGUGAUGCAUGGAUUCAUUUCUCAGAGUUAAACCUUUGUUUUUAUUCAGCCUGUUGGAAACAUCCUUUUUAUUGAAUCUAAGAAAGAACAUUUCAAAGCCCAUUGAUGCCAGUAGUGAAAAAUUGAAUAUCCCACAAUAAAAAAUUGAAACAAGAUAUCUGUAAAAAUGCAUUGAAAUGUGUAUUUGUCUCACAGAAUUAAAUCUUCCUUUGAUUCAGCUGGUUCGAAACACUCUAUUUGUAGAAUCCAUGAAAAGACAUUUCAGAGCUCAUUGAGGCCUAUAGAGAAAAACUGAAUAUUCCAUGAUAAAAGUAGAAACAAGCUAUCAGUGAAAAUGUUUUGUGAUGUGUGAAUUCAUCUCAAAGAGUUAAACCUUCCUUUUAAUUCAGCAGGUUGGGAACACUUCUUUCAUAAAAACUAUGAAGUGACAUUUCAAAGUCCUUUGAGGCCUGUAGUGAAAAACAGAAUAUCCCACAAUAGAAACUAGAAAAAAAGCUAUCUGUGAUAGGGUUUUGUGAUGUGCAAAUUCAUCUCACAGAGGUAAACAUUUCUUUUGAUUCAACAGGUUGGAAGAACUCUAUUUGUAUAAUCUACGAAGGGACAUUUCAGAGCCCUUUGAGGCUUAUAGUGAAAAACCGAAUAUCCCACAAUAUAAACUAGAAAAAAACUAUCUGUGAAAAUGCAUUGCAAUGUGAGGAUUCAUCUCACAGAGUUACAUGUUUCAUUUGAUUCUGCUGGUUGGAAACACUUUUUCUUGUAAUCUCUAUGAAGGAACAUUUCUGAGCUUAUUGAGACCUAUAGUCAAUUGUGAAAAACCAUAUAUAUAGUGAAAAACCAUAUAUCCUGCCAUAAAAACUAGAAACAAGCUAUCUGGGAAAAGGCUUUGCAAUGUGUGGAUUCAUCUCAAAGAGUUAAACUUUUGUGUAUAUUUAGACAGUUGGAACCACUCUUUUUGUACAAUCUUCAAAGGGAUCGAAGGGACAUUUUGGACCCAUUGAGGCCUAUAGAAAUAAACCAAAUAUCAUGCAAUAAAAACUAGAAAGAAGAUAUCUGUGAAAACACUUUGCAAUGUGUGGAUUCAUGUGACACACAUAAACCUUUGUUUUGAUCCUGCCAGUUGGAAACACUCUUUUUGUAGAAUCCACAAAGGGACUUUUCAGAGUCCAUUGAGGAGUACAGUGAAAAACUGAAUAUCCUAUGAUAAAAUCCUGAAAAAAGCUCUCUGUGAAAAUGCUAUGCUACGUGUAAAUUUAUCUCAGAGAGUUAAACCUUUCUUUUGAUCCAGCUAGUUGGAAAUACUCUUUUUGUAGAAUCUAUGAAGGACUUUUUGGAGCUUAUUGAGGCCUAUAGAGAAAAACCAAAUACCCUGCGAUAAAAGCAGAAACAAGCUAUCUGUGAAAACGUGUUGUGAUGUGUGAAUUCAUCUCAAAGAAUUAAACCUUCCUUUUAAUUCAGCAGGUUGGAAACACUUCUUUUGUAGAAUGUAUGAAGGGACAUUUCAGAGUUCUUUUAGUCCUAUAGUGAAAAACUGAAUAUCCUGUGAAAAAACUAGAAAAGAGCUUCCUGUGAAAAUGCUUUGUGAUGUACGAAUUCAUCUCACAGAGGUAAAUUUUUCUUUUAAUUUACCAGGUUGGAAACACUCUUUUUGUAGAAUCUACAAAGGGACAUUGAGUCCUAUGAUGAAAAAAUGAAUAUCCCAUGAUAAAAACUAGAAACAAGCUAUCUGUGAAAAUGCGUUGCAAUGUGUGGAUUUGUCUCACACAGUUAAACCUUUCUUUUGAUUCAGCAGUUUGAAAACACUAUUUUUGUAGAAUCUAUGAAGAAACAUUUCAGAGGCAUUUGAUGACUAUAGUGAAAAACCGAAUAUGCCAUAAUAAAAACUAGAAAAAAGCUAUCUGUGAAAAUGCGCUGUGAAGUGUGGUUUUAUCUCAGAGAGUUAUAAUUUUGUUUUGAUUCAGCCAGUUGGGAACACAAUUUCUUAGGAAUCUAUGAAAAGACAUUACAAUGCCAAUUGAGGCCUAUAGUAAAAUACCAAAUAUCACAUGAUGAAAACCAGAAACAAGCUAUGUGUGAAAACACUGAGUGAUGUGUGCCAACAUAUCACAGAGUUAAACUUUUCUUUUGAUCCAGCAGGUUAGAAACACUCUAUGGUAGAAUCUACAACAGGACAUUUCAGAGAGAUUGAGGCCUAUAGUAAAAAUACAAAUAUCCUGUGAUAAAAGCUAGAAAAGAGCCAUUUGUGAAAACACUUUGCAAUGUGUGGAUUCAACUCAUAGAGUUACACCUUUCUUUAGAUUCAGCUGGUUGGAAACACUCUUUUUGUAAAAUCUAUGAAGUGACCUUUUGAUGGUCGUUGAAGCCUACAGUGAAAAAUAGAAUAUCCCACCAUAAAAACUAGAAACAAUAUAUCUGGUGAAUCUGCUUUGCAAUGUGUGGAUUCAUCUGAAAGUCUUAAAUCUUUCUUUCAAUUCAGCCAGUUGGAAACACUUUAUUUGUAGAAUCUACGAAGGGAAAUUUCAGAACUUAUUGAGACCUAUAGUGAAAAACUGAAUAUCCCAUGAUAAAAACUGGAAACAAGCUAUCUGUUAAAAUGCUUUGUGAUAUGUAAAUGUAUCUCACAGAGUUAAACAUUUAUUUUCAUUCAGCAGUUUUGAAACACUGAAGAUUUUUGUAAAAUCUACAAAGGGACAUUUCAAAGUCCAUUGAGGCCUAUAGUAAAAAACUGAAUAUCUCGUCAUUAAAAACUAGAAAAAUGCUACCUGUGAAAACACUUUGUGAUGUGUGGAUUAAUCUCACAGAGGAAAACCUUUCUUUUGAUUGAGCUGGAUAAAAUCACUGUUUUUGUAGAGUCUGUGAAGGGACAUUUCAAAGCCCAUUGACGCCUAUAGUAAAAACUUGAAUAUCCCUCAAUAAAAACUAGAAAGAAGCUAUUGGUGAAACCACUUUGUGAUGUGUGGAUUCAUCUCACAGAGAUAAAACUUUCAAUUCAGCAGUUUGGAAACACUUCUUUUUUAGGGUCUACAAAGAGACAUUUCAGAGCCCAUUGAGACCUAUAGUAAAAAAACAAAUAUUUUGCAAUAAAAACUAGAAGCAAGCUAUCUGUGAAAAUGCUUUGUGAUGUAUGGAUUUAUAUCACAGAAUUAUACCAUUUUCUUGAUUCAGCUGGUUGGUAACACUCUUCUUGUAGAAUCUAUGAAGGGACAUUUUGGAGCCCAUUGAGGCCUAUAUUGAAAAGCUGAAUAUUCCAUGAUUAAAACUAGAGAGAGAUUCAUCUCACAAAAUGAAACCUCCCAUUUGAUUCAGCCUGUUGGAAUCACUCUUUUUGUUGAACCUAUGAAGGGACAUUUGAAAGCAGAUUGAGGCCUAUAGCAAAAAACCGAAUAAACUGUAAUAAAAACUGGAAACAAGCUAUCUGUAAAAACACUUUCUUUUGUGUGGAUUCAUCUCACAGAGGUAAACCUUUGUUUUACUUCACCAUGUUAGAAACACUUUUUUUUGUAGAGUCUAUGAAGGGACAUUUUGGAGCCCACUGAGGCUUAUGGUAUAUAUAUAUAUAUAUAUUUCACAAUAAAAACUAGAAACAGGCUAUCUGUGAAAACGCUUUGGGAUGUAUGAUUCAUCUCACAGAGCUAUACCCUUUUCUUGAUUCAGCCGAUUGGAAACACUCUUUUUGUAGAACCUACGAAGGGAUAUUUUGGAGCCCAUUGAGGCCUAUAGUGAAAAAUCGAAUAUCCCACAAUAAAAACUAGAAAGAAAGAUUUUUUUAAACUGUUUUGUGAUGUGUGGAUUCAUCUCACAGAGUUAAAACUUUCUUUUAUUCAGCCAGUAGGAACAACUUUUUUUGUAAAACCUAGGAAAGAACAAUUCAGAGCUCAUUGAAGUCUAUAGUAGAAAAUGGAAUAUCUUGUCAUGAUCACUAGAAACAAGCUAUCUGUGAAAAUAUUUUGCUAUGUAUGGAUUCAUCUCACAGAGCUAUACAUUUCUUUUGAUUCAGUCCAUCAGAACUACUAUUUUGUAGAAUUAUGACGGGACAUUUCAGAGCUUACUGAGGCCUAUAAAGAAAAAGAGAACCUCCCACAAUAAAAAGUAGAAAUAAGCUAUUUGUGAAAACGUUUUGCCAUGUGAAAAUUUAUCUCGAAGAGUUAAACCAUUCUUUUGUUUCAGCAGGUUAUAAAGACUUCAUUUGUGGAAUCUACAAGGAAACAUUUUGGAGUCCAUUGAGGCCUAUAGUGAAAAAAUAAAUAUCCCAUAAUAAAAAUUAGAAGAAAAAUGUCUGUUAAAAUGCUUUGCAAUUUGUAGAUUCAUCUCACACAGUUAAACUUUUGUUUUAAUUCAGCUGGUUGGAUACACUCUUUCUGUAGAAUCUACGAUGGGACAUUUUAAAGCCCAUUGAGGCCUAUAGUAAAAAAAUGAACAUCUUGCAAUGAAAACUAGAAACAAUUUGUCUGUGAAAGUGCUUUGCAAUGUGUGGAUUCAUCUCACAGAAUUAAACAUUUGUUUUAUUUCAGCUGGUUGGAAACACUCUCUUUGUAGAAUGUGUGAAGGGACAUUUCAAAGGCCAUUGAGGCCUAUAGAGAAAAACCAAAUAUCCCGCAAGAAAAGCUGGAAGCAAGCUAUCUGUGAAAAUGCUUUAUGAUGCAUGCUUUCAUCUCAGAGAGUUAUACUGUUCUUUCAUUUCAGCCAGUGAGAAGCACUCUUUUUGUAGAAUCUAUAAGGGGACAGUGCGGAGCCCAUUGAAGUCCAUAGUGAAAGACUGAAUAUCCCAUGAUAAAAAUUAGAAACAAGCUGUCUGUGAAAACAUGUUGCAAUGUGUGGAUUCAUCUCAAAGAAUGAAACUUUCUUUUGAUUAAACAAGUUGGAAACACUCUUUUUUUAGAAUCCACAAUGGGACAUUUUGGAGUCCAUUGGGGCCUAUUUUGAAAAUCCAAAUAUACCGCAAUAAAAACUAGAAAGAAACUAUCUGUAAAAAUGCUUUGUGAUGUGUGAAUUCAUUUAACAUAAAUAAAACUUUUUGUUAUUCAGCCAGUUGGGACCUCUCUUUUUGUAGAAUCUAUGAAGGGAUAUUUCAAAGGCCAUUGAGGCCUGUAGGGAAAACUGAAUAUCCUGCAAUAAAAACUAGAAACAAGUCAGGAAACAACAGGUGCUGGAGAGGAGGUGCAGAAAUAGGAAUAUUGUUACACUGUUGGUGGGACUGUAAACUAGUUCAACCAUUGUGGAAGACAGUGUGGCAAUUCAUCAAGGCUCUAGAACUAGAAAUACCAUUUGACCCUGUGAUCUCAUUACUGGGUAUAUACCCAGAGGAUUAUAAAUCAUGCUGCUAUAAAGGCACAUGCACAUGUAUGUUUAUUGCGGCACUAUUCACAAUAGCAAGG